GAAAAGAAUUCAGGGGGGCUGAGCUGGCUGCAGGAUGAGCUGCAAAGGCUGCGGCAAGCCCUGCAGACAUCCCAGGCUGAGCGGGACACAGCCAGGCUGGACAAAGAGCUGCUGGCCCAGCUACUGCAGGGGCUAGAGCAAGAGGCUGAGAGCAAGAAACGCUUCCAGGACGACAAGGCUCGACAGCUGAAGAGCCUAGAGGAGAAAGUCUCGCGGCUGGAAGCGGAGUUAGAUGAAGAAAAGAACACUGUGGAACUGUUAACAGAUCGGGUGAACCGUGGCCGGGAUCAGGUGGAUCAACUGAGGACAGAGCUCAUGCAGGAGAGAUCUGCUCGACAGGACUUGGAGUGUGACAAAAUCUCCUUGGAGAGACAGAACAAGGAUUUGAAGACCCGGUUGGCCAGUUCCGAGGGCUUCCAGAAACCCAGCCCUAGCCUCUCCCAGCUUGAGUCCCAGAAUCAGCUGCUGCAAGAGCGACUGCAAGCUGAAGAGAGAGAGAAGACAGUUCUGCAGUCCACCAAUCGCAAACUAGAACGGAGGGUUAAGGAGCUCUCCAUCCAGAUUGAUGAUGAAUGGCAGCAUGUCAACGACCAGAAGGACCAGCUAACCCUGAGGGUGAAGGCUUUGAAGCGGCAGGUGGAUGAAGCAGAAGAGGAAAUUGAGCGGCUGGACAGCCUGAGGAAGAAGGCACAGCGGGAACUGGAGGAACAGCAUGAGGUCAAUGAACAGCUCCAAGCCCGGAUCAAAUCCUUGGAAAAGGAUGCCUGGCGGAAAGCUUCCCGCUCAGCUGCUGAGUCAGCCCUCAAACAAGAGGGGCUGAGCUCUGAUGAGGAGUUUGACAACGUCUACGACCCCUCAUCCAUUGCAUCACUGCUUACUGAGAGCAACCUGCAGACUAGCUCAUGUUAGCUCAGGCUCUGCUCAGGACCACAAACGGGCUUGUGGUCAAGCCUAUCCCAGCCAGCCCUGCUCUGCUCUGCUCUGUCUUGCCUGCUUCGGAGUCUUUUUUUUUUUUUUUUUUUUUUCUACAAGUGAUCCAAUUCAGACUUAAGACUGGUACGGGUCAGAGUGAUGGUGAUAAACAUUGGCAAUGAGCGGAUGGGUGCACUUGUUCUUUUCACUGGAGGAGUGGGUGUUUAGUCCUGCUGAGUCAGUCCUUCCUAUAGGACCUCUCCAUCAUCCCUUACAGUGGGACUAAUGGUCAGAAUAUACACUGACUGGAACUGUGAAGGACAGGAAGGGAUGGAUAUUGCCAUGUAUGUAAAGCUUUAUUUCUUUAAUAUUUAACCAUAUGGCUCAGGGAAAUACCCAAUGUUGUUCUGCUCCCUGGAUCCCCACAACUGUUUUCCCUCCCACUCUGGAGCAGGGAGGGAACAUUAUGGGUAAUGGACAUGCAGGCGUGGCGCUACCCACUUCUCAGAUACUUCUUUUUGCACAGUCAUUGGUCCUAGCAUCUCUUCAGUUGCAAUAUUUUUGUUUUCCCCCAGUCACUGGGUCCAGGAGAUCGUGUGUCUUUCUUUUCCAUCCCUGCCUUGCUGCUUUACUCUCAGUGCCUUACCAGUGUGAGAUGGAUGAGGAUGCUAUUCUUGCCUUUUAUAAACCUGCACAUUCAUACCUCUCCAAAGACCAGCCUUUCCUCAUUGGGGGCCCUCAGCCUGUCCUCCUACCCCAGUGACUGAGCAGCUACAGGCUGCUCUGCCAAGCAGCCCCUGGGAGAAGGGCUUUGAAAGGCCUGGUAAGGUGGUGGGGACUGGUUCUGCCCAGGGUUUCCAUCUUCCUUGCCCUCUGUGACUGAGGAUGCUACCAUAAGGUGGUUGUACCUGGGAACCAUGGCAACUGUUGAUACAGGUUCUAAAGUUCAAACAUCUAGUCCCUGUGGCCUCCUUAUGGCUUCUCGGAUGUGCCCAGCUUCUGUGGGAACCAACAGAUCCUUGCUUUUCUCAAGAAGUGGGCCCUGUUUCAGAGCCUCGCCUGGGGUUGGAAGCUGACUCUCAGUAGAGAUGGGAAGGGGUCAUGGAGAAUAUAUUCCUCCUUUGAGUUUUGGGGCAUGCCAAGCUCUUGUGGGUGAAGGUAAUGGGGAUGGUUUGCCUCUUAUCUCCAAAGUAAGUUCUGGUCUCAUCAAUGACUUCUAUAUCAUGAUUUAAAAGAAGAUAUUCUGCAGAUCAGAUAUUUUCUCCCAAUCCAGCCUUGGUUUAAUUUUAAAUUAAAUAUUAAAAAUGGCAUAUCUA